rnacentral:rRNA from 1 species
GGUGAACGCUGGCGGCGUGCCUAAUACAUGCAAGUCGAGCGAACAGAUGAGAAGCUUGCUUCUCUGAUGUUAGCGGCGGACGGGUGAGUAACACGUGGGUAACCUACCUAUAAGACUGGGAUAACUCCGGGAAACCGGGGCUAAUACCGGAUAAUAUUUUGAACCGCAUGGUUCAAUAGUGAAAGACGGUUUCGGCUGUCACUUAUAGAUGGACCCGCGCCGUAUUAGCUAGUUGGUAAGGUAACGGCUUACCAAGGCGACGAUACGUAGCCGAACUGAGAGGGUGAUCGGACACACUGGAACUGAGACACGGGCCAGACUCCUACGGGAGGCAGCAGUAGUGAAUCUUCCGCAAUGGGCGAAAGCCUGACGGAGCAACGCCGCGUGAGUGAUGAAGGUCUUCGGAUCGUAAAACUCUGUUGUUAGGGAAGAACAAAUUUGUUAGUAACUGAACAAGUCUUGACGGUACCUAACCAGAAAGCCACGGCUAACUACGUGCCAGCCGCCGCAGUAA